rnacentral:lncRNA from 1 species
AAGGGCUUUCGUAUUGAAUAAAGGAACAGAGGAGAUACAGAGAUUGACAAAGAAGAGAAAACAGAAAAAAAAAACAAAGAAAAUUACAACUUGGAAUUAAAGCAAAAAGGGGACACCAGUUCCGAUUUGAUUCAGCCCAAAAGAUGGGAAUAAACAAGAAGGAUUCAAGAAAAUCGGUACGAUAAACAAGGGCAGUGACGAAUGGUCAGACACACAGACAAGACGUGCAAGCAACCUCACUCUCAUCCUCACAUGUAAAGCUACUGACCAUUAAUUACGCAGAAGGAG